AUGGCGGCAAUGGCGGAGGGGGCGGGGGAGCCGGAGCUGGUGUCGAUCCCCGUGACGCCGCGGGGUCUGUCCACGCCGGAGGGGAUGUCCACGCCGCCGGUUAGGAGGGGAGGGGCAGCGACGAGCGGCGCCGGGACGCCGGUGCGCCGGGUGGUGGAGGGCCUGCGCGGCUACCUGGAGGAGGUGGGCCACCUCACGCGCCUCAACCCGCAGGACGCCUGGCUCCCCAUCACCGAGAGCCGCAGCGGCAACGCCAGCUACGCUGCAUUCCACUCCCUCAACGCCGGCCUUGGGUUCCAGGCGCUCCUCCUCCCACUCGCCUUCCCCGCCCUCGGAUGGAGCUGGGGAAUAAUAUCAUUGACUGGUGCUUACUUCUGGCAACUGUACACACUCUCCAUUCUAGUCAAGCUUCACGAAGCAGUCCCGGGCAGGAGGUACAACAGAUAUGUGGAGCUUGCACAAGCUGCAUUUGGAGAAAAACUGGGGGUGUGGCUAGCUCUUUUCCCAACUAUUUAUCUUUCGGCAGGCACUGCAACUGCAUUGAUCCUUGUCGGAGGGGAGACUAUGAAGCUCUUUUACCAAAUAGUGUGCGGCCCCCUUUGUACACCGAGCCCUAUUUCGACGGUGGAGUGGUACUUGGUAUUCACAUCCUUGGCAGUCAUUCUUUCCCAGCUCCCAAAUCUCAACUCGAUUGCUGGGCUUUCGCUUAUCGGUGGCGCCACAGCGAUAAUGUACUGCACCAUGUCAUGGGUUCUCUCUGUGAGCCAGCAACGGCCGGCAGCAGUCUCUUAUGAACAAGUGAGAUCCACUUCUUUUGGCUCAUCACUGUUCUCUACCUUGAAUGCUCUUGGGAUAAUAGCCUUUGCAUUCAGGGGACACAAUCUUUCAUUAGAAAUACAGGCGACGAUGCCGUCGACUUUCAAACACCCUGCACAUGUGCCUAUGUGGCGCGGGGCCAAAGCGGCUUAUCUUCUGAUUGCGAUGUGCAUCUUCCCUGUUGCCAUUGGGGGUUACUGGGCCUACGGGAACAUGAUGCCACCAGGAGGGAUCCUGACCGCCCUCUACAUCUUCCACGGCCACGACAUCUCUCGUGGGCUCCUCGCGGCGACGUUCCUCCUCGUCGUGUUCAACUGCCUUAGCAGCUUCCAGAUAUACUCCAUGCCAGUGUUCGACAGCUUCGAGGCCUUCUACACAGGUCGCACCAACCGGCCCUGCUCAGUCUGGGUCCGGUCCGGAUUCAGGAUCUUCUACGGGUUCAUCUCGCUCUUCAUCGGCAUCGCUCUGCCGUUCCUCUCCAGCCUCGCCGGCCUUCUGGGCGGCCUAACGCUGCCGGUGACGUUUGCCUACCCGUGCUUCAUGUGGAUCUGCAUCAAGAAGCCUGAGAGGUUCAGCUACAGCUGGUACGUGAACUGGGGCCUCGCCCUGCUCGGCACCGCCUUCAGCUUGGCCUCCUCUGUGGGUGGUGUCUGGAGCAUCAUUAACACUGGGAUGAAGCUCAAGUUCUUCAAGCCCAACUAG
rnacentral:rRNA from 1 species